UGGAUUGGUCUGUAUGAUCAAACACAUGGUACCAGAACAUGGUACUGGUCUCUGCCUGGACUGGAGUUCAAUGAAAGUGAGACAAACUGGAUCACAGGAGCACCAACUGAUAAUGGAAACCCAAAGUAUAAAAACUGUGUAUUUCUGAAUCAAAAUCUCCAAUGGGGAGAUGCCGGCUGCGGGGCCCCGAAGUUCUUUGCCUGCUUUAAUCAAACCAACACAACCCAUAAAUAUCACCUGAUUAAAGAGUUGAAGUCCUGGCUGGAAGCUCAGAAUUACUGCAGAGAGAAACACACAGACCUGAUCAGUGGAAUGAAGCAGCUACAGGAUGAAGAAGUGAAGAAAUUGAUGAACUAUGGAUCUAUUCAGGUAAACAUUGGUCUGUUCAGAGACAGGUGGAGGUGGUCGGAUGGAAGCAGUUUCUCUUUCAGACACUGGAAUCUACAGUUUAAUAAUGAGUUAAUCAAUAGUGGUCAAUGUGCCAUGACUGUGUUUGAUGAUGGAGGCAGAUGGAAGAAUGAGAACUGUGAUGAGAAAAAACCCUUCAUCUGUUAUGAUGAUAAAGUGAUCCUGAUCAAAGAAAAUAAAACCUGGCAUGAGGCCUUGACCUACUGCAGAGAUCAUCAUGAUGACCUGGUCACCAUCACCAACAUGGAUGAACAGAUAUUGAUCCAGGAGAAAGUCAAGGACGCAUCGACUCCUUUCGUCUGGUUGGGUCUGCGCUUCAACUGCUUCAAGAAUGUCUGGU